UACGGAGGGUGCAAACGUUGCUCGGAAUCAUUGGGCGUAAAGCGCACGUAGGCGGUCUCGAAAGUCAGAUGUGAAAGCCCUCGGCUUAACCAAGGAAGUGCAUUUGAAACUUCGAGACUUGAGUACUGGAGAGGGUCGCAGAAUUCUCGGUGUAGAGGUGAAAUUCGUAGAUAUCGGGAGGAAUACCAGUGGCGAAGGCGGGUCUCUGGGACGGUACUGACGCUGAGACGCGAAAGCGUGGGGAGCGAACAGG
rnacentral:rRNA from 1 species